CUCAUUUGAUAUACUUCCGGAUCCCGUUCACGCUCAUGUUUCAACGAAAAAGAAAUCCAAAACGACGGUAUCACGAUGGGUAAAUCGUUACGUUCAUGAAAAUCAUUUGGAUCGGCGUCCUCAGCCGGGUCAACCAGAGAAAUUGGAUGCAGUUACGAAAAACGCAGUUAUUCAAAAAAUUGUUGACAAUCCCUUUUCAAAUGCUGCAAUUGUGGGUCGAGAAUAUCAGGUAAACAAGAACACUAUUCGACGCGUCUGGAAACAGGCAGAAAUUUUCCAUGGUGUAGCUGCAAAAAAGCCGAAAUUGACACCGGAACAUUGUCAGGCCAGGCUUCACUUUGCUGUGUCUAAUCUAUACAGAGAUUGGAGUAACGUCAUCUUCAGUGACGAAAAGACGUUUCAAACAGAUCGGCACCAAAAACUACAUGUAUA